UGCUUUGCUGUGCAUUCUGUCCAAUUCUUUGUUCAAAAUGCCAAGAACCUGGACAAUUUGCAGUCAAGACCCUCCACCGGGAUAUGAACUUCCAAUUAUAUCAUUGGACUUGACUACUCCAUUUCUUUCCACAUUUAAAAAUCAAUCAGGGAGAAGCUAUUUUGAGAACUUAACACAGUAUUUAACAUGGGAUUUCUGAAUGAAGACAGUUUAUGGAUGAAUAAGGGCAACUUUGGUUCUUUUCAGAAGGUGCGUGAUCUGGAUGGCUGAAGUUGCUGAUUUUGGGGGGUAAUCUACAAGGAAAAGGUGAUGAAAAUACCAGAAACAGUCUGUAUCCUACUAUGUGGCUAACAUAUGAGGAAGUCUCAACAUGCAAACUUUGGCAGAUAAAAUCUUAGGCCAUGGACAAGACCAUGUCCCUUUGUGAAGACAAUGCCCACAGCAAAAUAUUUUUCAUUAAAUCAAGGAAAUGGAUACUAGUGAACUAAGAUUUUAUAUAUAACUAAUAAUAAAUACCAAUUAUUUUUGCAAGCAUAUCUCAUCACUGAAAUAUACAUCUGUAUUUCAAUGUAUUAUCCUAAUAUUGAUUUCCCUGGGGGAAUCAAGAAAAGGAUUAUCUAUUUAAAGAGAAGGGAAUAUCAAGCCUGUUAUUGCCACAAUGUGGAAGAAUCAACAAAAUAACUGUUUUCAAAUUUCCAGAUAUUAAUUUUGUCAUCAUGUAUACAAACUUAUUUACCAAACAUGCUUCAUUCUACAUUUCUUUCUUGACAGGUUUUACAAUCUUUGUUAUUCUGUUUUCAAACAAAAAAUGUAAAAUGCCAUUUCUAUCUUUAUCACUAAAGCUUCCCAUCAACACGUUUAUCUCUUUUCACCCACAUAUCUGAUUGUAUUUUGAAUGUAAAAUAAAAACAGGCUUUAAAAUGAAAAGGCUUUUAUAAAAUAAAAAUUUGCUGUAGAAGAGAAAAAAAAUGUAAGAAACUCAGAUUUCCACUGAAUUUCCAAGGGCCUGUGGGGGCCUAGUAGUGAAAGAGUGAUAUUUUAUAAGUGAGUAAGUAUGAAUGUUCUCAUAGGUUUUGUGUAAAGAUGAUAUACUUGUAUUAAUGAAUGUUCUGUAACAGGGAUAUUCUUUUGGUUAGUGGUCCUUUUGAAGAUGUCAAGAUGAGAUUGUGUGUCAUCCAGAUCACAUGACAUAUAUCAUUCCUCUCAGUCCUUGAAUUAUAAUAGUUAUAAGGCAAAAACAACACUUGACCUUUUGGGUUCCCUGAUAUGUUUACAAAAUAAUUUGAGUUUUCAAGUGUAAUAUGAUUUAAAUAUGUGUGCUAAUGCUUCACCAAUGAUUAGGAGUAUCUGCUAUAUGCAAUAUGUGAUUUGUCCUUACUUAUAUUAUCAAUAAUUAUGACCUUUUAAUUUCUCCACUCUUUUAAGUAUAAAACUUAGGUGCAGUUGACAAUGUUUUUGAAAAAAAUUGGGUCUUAAUAUUUCCCAACAGAAUUACGUUUUAAAAUACAAACGCCUCAUUUUAUACAUGGGUGUAAUAUUUCAAAGAUGGUCUAGUAGAAAUUUAACCUCAUUUAAAGCACAGACUGAAUAGGAUGGUUGGAGACUUUAUUAUUGCUGUAACUCAAUGCAGUUUAAAUGCUACAAAAUUAAGUGAUAUUGCAACAAAGUAAGAAUUGUAAAGGCAGCCAAACUCUCUUAAUCUUUAAGUCUUUUAGGGAAUAUGUAAGAGCUAAUGUAAAUAGGGGCACUGUGCAUAGAUGGAUAUAGAGCAGAUUUCAGCAGAGAAAGCAUCUUCAUGUCAAAGUAAGUACAAGGGAUGAAAGGGACUAGUCAACCAACAUUCUAGUUGUAAUUUUUUCUCACCACUACUUUUCUCUUGUCUUAUUCAUAAUUGCCCUUCAUUGAUCUUGCUGACACCACUGAUUAUUAUUAGCUGCUUUAAUAUAUGUAGUGCAGGUCUCAGUGACUAAUACAAAUUGUGAAGUCCUAAAUUAGGGAGAAGUAGUUGGGCUGGUGGGACAAAGGGAAAGCAAAAUGAGAAAGCAGAUAAGUUUUAAGUCUGCCUUUCUACAUAGUCCAGAACACAUAGUCUUCUUGUGCCCAGUUAUCACAAGACCCUCAGCUGAUGGAAAAAUGCAAGUUAGCUCACUGCAACCUUGGUGUUAUCAGUACUGCAUAGAGCCCUCUUUAGCACAAAGCAGAAGCACCAUCCUAUAAAAUCUCCAGCAAGCCUUUGUGUCCUUGCAGUCAGCUCCUCUCUUGCUGACUUGCCCAUUGCUUCCUUGCAAUGUAUUUUCAUACUGUCUCUAAUGAAACUGCCUUUCUUUACCUACAACUGUCUUUGUAAAUUCAUUUUACUGCUCAUACAAUACUGGCCUCAGUUGCAACCUGCAACACAAAUAUCAAAAAAGGAGGAUGCUACCUGGCAGCAUUAUGCAAGAGAAUGGAGACUCACAAAUAUGUGUAGGAGUAUGUGUGUAAGUGUAAGAAUAUGAGUUACCAAAGAUGGCCAAAGGUACCUGAGAGCAACCAGUGUGACUGUUGGAGAAAGAGGAAAAUUGAGAAAAAUCAGGAUUCCAUGGGUAGGUUAACUAGUGAAUGAGAAUAUGGAAAUGAAAAUACAGGAAAAAGAGAAGCGUGUAGCUUACUAGUUGAUGGAAACAAAGGUACAAAACAUGUAGGAUAGUGGGUUUUAAACAUUUUGAUUAUUAUGUUAACAAUUAGGACUAACACCUCAAUGGAACACUGAGUUCCCAUAGCACUGUUUGAAAACAUCUUAGUGUAUGUCUAUACAUUUAGUAAAUGUCUGAAGAACCUCCAUGUGAUAUGGUAAACACUGGUGACACAGAACGUUAAUUCCUAUGUAUGAGAUUAGGCUACCAACUUAUUGAUGAGAACAAAUAAUUAUUGUGUCAGAAAGUAUAUCAGUAAUAUUUGUAGUCGAUAAAUUUAUAUUAGUAAUAAAAGUUAAAUGUUGAUAGGAAAAUAAUCACUUUUAAUGUUAUAUAUACAUAUAAUUUAGAUAUAUGUAUGUUUAACUGGCAACUACUCAACUAUAAUUUUAAUUACUAUUUUAUGUCAGAACCUUAGAGCUUAAUAUAUGCAGAGAUUUGUUUCUAGAUAAUAAGUUUGUUUUCAUUUAUCUUUAUCCCUUUAUCCAUUUCUCUCAUG
rnacentral:lncRNA from 1 species